rnacentral:misc_RNA from 1 species
AGAAUCUGAACCGGAGUAAGAGCGUGACCUGGAGCGGGACCGGGAGGACGAGCCCGACCCUGAAGGCCGCAACGGACCGCCUCGCGUUGGCUUGGCCAUGGAUACAAAGGCAACACAGUGGAUAAGAAACCCUCGGUAAACCCCUAGGACCGUGAAAAUUGAUAGAAAGAAAGACGAGGCAAGACCCGCUUGGGUUUUUCUGUGCAGUGC